UGCGCAGGCUGCGCGGCAAGUCAAAUGUGAAAUUCAGGGGCUCAACCCCUGCAUUGCGCUUGAUACUUCCGCGCUCGAGCCUUGGAAAGGAGUCUGGAAUUCUCGGUGUAGCAGUGAAAUGCGUAGAUAUCGAGAGGAACACUAAGGGCGAAGGCAAGACUCUGGACAAGUGCUGACGCUCAUGCACGAAGGCUAGGGUAGCGAACG
rnacentral:rRNA from 1 species